GUUGUCAUUGACUGGGUGAUGAGAAAAACAACAGAAGAUGCUCCAAGAGUAAUAAGAUGGAACCUUUCAGCAACAUUAGAAGAUCUUGAUUUUGCUGAUGAUCUUGCUCUUUUAUCUCACACCCACCACCAUUUACAAAAGAAGACAAACCGCCUUAAUACUUUUGCCAGUCAAGUUGGACUUAAAAUCAGCCAAACGAAAACAGAAGUCAUGACCCGUAACAUCAAUAACCCAGCUUCUUUCCUAGUAGAUGG
rnacentral:lncRNA from 1 species